CCCUUAGAUGUUCUGGGCCGCACGCGCGCUACACUGACGAUGGCAACGAGUUUUUCCUUCGCCGAAAGGUGUGGGUAAUCUUUUGAAACAUCGUCGUGCUGGGGAUAGAUCGUUGCAAUUUUUGAUCUUGAACGAGGAAUUCCUAGUAAGCGCGAGUCAUCAGCUCGCGUUGAUUACGUCCCUGCCCUUUGUACACACCGCCCGUCGCUACUACCGAUUGAAUGGUUUAGUGAGGACUCCUGAUUGGCGCCGCCGCCCCGGCAACGGAGCAGCGGACUGCCGAAAAGUUGUUCAAACUUGAUCAUUUAGAGGAAGUAAAAGUCGUAACA
rnacentral:rRNA from 1 species